rnacentral:misc_RNA from 1 species
AAUCAGAAUUCUCUUCUCAAUUAAAAAAAUAAAAAAGGUCAGAUAAAAAAAAACUAUUGGUAUACAUUUAAAAUAUAAGGUUUAAACAUGAAUCACCAUGCUUUACCAAUUGCCCAUGGCUUUUAUAAUAACAAAACUCGCAAGUUUUCUCUGCAAUAUAAUUUUCUGAUUUCAAACAGCAAGGGCUAACAACCAACCAAACAAAGCAGCAACUCUAAAUCUAUUACAAAAUAGUUUAAUUAAUCCUUGAACUGUUCCUCCUUCCCCACCACUUCUUUUUCACCCUGUCAAGAGCACCUUCUUCAUUUCCAAGUUUAUUCAAAAUCACCUUUGUUUCUCUUAAUCUCACUCCAUAAUCCUUCUUCCAAGAUUCAAACAUCUGCUUCAACCUUCGGAGCUCUCGGUCUGGAUUCAAACUUGCUUCUACCUGACCCGAUUUUACCUCCACCAAGAACUUGGCAUCAUCACCAAACACUUGAGUCCUCUGCUCAAAUUCUUCAGCCAACCUGCUUAUAACACUCAAGCCUGCACUCAUUGGUCUUGCACUAUGACCAUUAGUUUCUUGACCCCUGUAGUUACUUCCUGUAUCCCAGCUGAAGUCCCUUUCAUCGCUUGCAUUGACA